AAAAGGGCAUUUCCGUAAUUAACUAAAUAUAACACAAUAUUUUCACCUUUUUCAACAAGUGUUACAUUCUCAUUGGUCCAACUUAAAUUAAUCUACUUUCCCUCCAUAACACCUUUUGACCAAUACGUUUCAGAUCUGUGAACCCUAAACUACUCUCUAUCUCUUUCUCUGCUCAUCUUCAUCCCUUUGCAGAUCCGUAGCAAGCCCCGCCGGCGACUUCAGAUCGGUGCACCACCCUUUCUCCGCUCCGCCCCUUUUCCUUUAACUUUUCACCUCUAUCCCUCUCAUUUCACAAAUCUGUUUCUCUCUCCAAUAGCAUAUUUCUAUCUCUCUCGUCUCUUUCUCUCCAUACCCUAGAAUCUUUGCUACCGAAAUCAAUGGAACCGAAGAAGGUGAAUGUUGCAAAAUAUGUUUCCAAUUUUUCUUCAUAUAGAGGGAUUAUUUGUCUAUGGUGGUCGUUGCCCUGCUUGCGUAAUCUAAUGGUAUAUUUAUUUCCUCUGUUUGUGUGGAGCAACAAUAAGUGGUUUACGAGGUUGCAGGUUGAUGAAGAAGCUCAUUAUUUGUCUAAUCUACAAAAGCAUUUCUUUAUGAAAGUUUAAACUGUUCAUCAUCUUCGAUGGGUAGCAGUAUAUUUUGUUUCAAGGUUGUCUAAGGUAUGUUCUAUUCUCAAUUUAUUUGCAGAGAAAUAUUCAUAAAUUGUGAGAUAAACUUAGAUCUAGGGUUUUUUUAUAAACUUACCUACUUCUUCCAUUUUCAGCAAAAGAUUUUAUAGGUUCUUUCUCUGCAAAUCCAGGUACAAUCCAUGGCACAAGAUACAAUGUUGUUAAACUCCCAAAUAUUGAUUUUAAUUUCUUAAAUUUUGAUGGAGAUUCAAGCUUCCUAUCUCAUUUGUGGUACUGAUGACUCCAGCUAAAAAGAGACUUAUGAGAGGUUUUAAUAAUUGCAACAAGAUCCACCUACAGAGAGAAGUGAUGCUCUUUAGGAUAACAAUAUAUUGUGGAAUGCUAUCAUAUUUGGGUGAUUUAGAUUGAUAAUUGUAUAAAAGUUGCAUAUGAUUAUGUAUACUUGUAUAAUUUAGUCACUUUUGUUUUAUUUUAUUUCACUUUUCCAUGGUGUUAGUAUGCAGAGAUAAGCAAUUUCUGAUUUCUUGUCUGCUUUGGAGUACAGUCGGCUUUGUAGUACAAUCCUGAUGAUACUCUAUGGG